rnacentral:piRNA from 1 species
GUGGACAACUGAUAAUUGAGGAGU